AUGUUAGACAAAUGGUUAUGCAUAAAUAUAGCUCAGGCUGUCGUACAGUGCAGUUACUGUGAUGUUCACAGUUUUGUCAUUCUAGCACCAAAAUUACUUUGUUUACAGCCUUUGAAAACAGUCCAAUGUUGCUGGUCAUGGCAAAUAAACUACAGUAUUAUGAUAAUCGAUGGACAAGCUCAUGUAAACAGUGACAUCUGUCACAUAGUGCUCCGUGACAGUAAAUAAAGGAUGCUGUGAUCAUUAAUUGUCCGUAUUAAGAGGAAAAACAGUCAACAGUUCUUAAAGGCUAUUUAUCUAAUGUUUACAAGUAAAUAUUGUAAAUUGUGAUACAAAAGAAGAAAUACAAACAAAAUCUACAUUUCACUUUAAAAUAUACAAUUAAAAUUUUUAACAAGCUUUGAUAGUAUUGAUUUUUCAGCAUUGAGACAGUACAAAAGACAAUCACACACAAAAUAAAAACACAAAAGACCUUUGAAAAUGUCGCGUUUGCAAUCCACACAUCAGUUCGUAGAACAGCGUAAGUUGGAAUCUUAGCACCUUGUUUGCUCAAGAUUACUGAGAAACGAGGGUUGGUUUGUCAUUGUUCCCAAACUUGAAAGUUGAAAAUGUGUGUUUGCAUGUCCAUAUCUGGAGUGUUUUGGAGGACGGCUUGCCAAACAAUCCUUAUGUACCAUUGAGACUGCACGUCUCCAGCUGCAAUCAAAAAUGGCCUCUGGUUGGUUUACCCAGCAGGCUUCCAGUUCUCCAUUCAUAUGUGCUCUGUUUGCGAAGCGCGUCUUUUUCAAAUACACCGACAAGAGCACACAAGUAUGGAGAAGAAAAUGGUUCAAAUGUGAAUGCCAAGUUUGUGCAACAUCACAUGCAUAUUCGAAAACCCUUUGGACAGUUGUUGCCAUUUUUGGAAUGAAAUUUCCCUGAUUAAAUACGCAGACGCGGCCCAGUGCAAAUUGAGCAUUUAGCACCACUCCUGUCUUAACUGCCACACAUAUAUGUGUGUGUUCUUGUCUAUGUGUGUAAAAUGAGGUAAAGCGAUGUGGCAGCUCAUGCAAACACUCCAGAAAGUCCCAAAAAUCGUAUGUAAAAAGACAUAUUUCAGUCUCGAGAACCUUAAGCUGUUUGAACCCUCGACUGUUUAAACCUGAAAAAUGGUUGCAGUCCUUUGUGUCACCUUUUUUUUUUCUUUUCUUCAAAAAUAGUACAAUACUUGACAAAUGACUCUAAAUACUGACUGGAAUAAAUGUUGACCCCAGUUUGCACUGAGACAUCGAGGUGAGUGAACGGUCAUUAUAUUUUUCUUCAUCUAUAAUGCAUCGUUUUUAUGUGCACUAAAGACUGAAAUGUCAUUUACAGUUGUAAACUGUCAAAAUUAUCAUGAAAAGCCGUAUUGAAAUUAAAUCGUCCUUACGACUAAUAUGUCUGAUUGGGUGCUAAUGCUAGUGCUAACGCACUCCUGCUAAUUUAAGGUGGUAUAUGUACAUAUUCCACCCAACCUGGCGGAAUCGGUGGGGGCUGACAUGAAAACAUGAAAGGAUGGCAAAUAAGAACAAACCCAAAACAUGGCGAUAAAUGGACACAGUCUCUCAGAGCCAACGCCCUGCUGUGAAGGGCACAGGGUCAAGGGUCAGUCUCAGUGCAGGUGGAUGUGCAGCUUGAUGCGCAGUGCGUCGCCGAUCUCGCCCAGCAAGUAGUCGCUAUCGUGCUGGUCCUCUAUUUGCUGAAGUUUGCGUGGACCGAACAUACGCAAGCUGGCGAUCUCCAGGCGGAACAAACCUGGAGGGGGUGGCUUUCGGCCCAGCCGCAGAACACUCUUCCCGUCGCGACGCUCCAGGAUGUGGAAGUGUUCACCCUGGUUUCCGUGCGUUAUGACGUAGCGCACGUGGUGCUCAAGCGGCUCCAGGGCUGGAAGCAACUCAAGUAGGGGUUCCUUGUUUUGCAGCUGCGCCAGACUAAGGUUCAUUGGGAUGGAGGUCUGAACAUCCAUGCUGGCCAUACUCACCGUCUCCUGAGGGCAGGACAGAACAGUUGGAAACAUUAGAAGAAGCUUCAGAUAGAUCUUGAC
ensembl:lncRNA